GUCCUGGCAGUAAACGGUGCACGUUUGGUGUGGGCGAGUUCAGACCUUGUCCGUGCCGGAGCUAACGCGUUAAACGUGCCGCCUGGGAAGUACGGUCGCAAGAUUAAAACUCAAAGAAAUUGACGGGGGCCCGCACAAGCGGUGGAGUAUGUGGCUUAAUUCGAUGCAACGCGAAGAACCUUACCUGGCCUUGACAUGCAUUGUGUCCCCGGUGAAAGCCGGGUAGCUGGUAGCAAUAUCAGCACUUUGCACAGGUGCUGCAUGGCUGUCGU
rnacentral:rRNA from 1 species